rnacentral:lncRNA from 1 species
UGGCCACCGUUAACCAUUCCCUAACCACCAACAAAGAUCAUUCUUUCAAAAUCCCACCCAGCACGAAGAUUUCCUAAGGGAGGCACUAACACCGAAGCGUGCAAGUGCACACAAAUGCUGCAAAUCUUCAACAAAAAGUAAAACUCCAGAUAUGCAAGAACACUAAGCAAAAAUCAGAAGCCGUUGGGGUAGUGAACGCUCAAAGCUUCGGACUCCUUAUUGGUAAAUUGUAACCUUGAUUCACCAAGUUAUUUCAACCAACUUAACCAAAAUAAGUGCAAUGGAAAAACAGUAACGAGAUGGAGCCAAGAGGAUGUUCGCUCGAGGAUAUGAGUUUCGUCGAAAAGUGUACAAAUACUAACUGUAAGGGCCACCUGACAAAUUAUUCCGGUGUGACCAGUUCCAAAUAGCGAAACACAACAACAAUAACCAAAAUAGCUCCGUUCAUUAACCUAAAGAGUCGUCGUGACGCUACUACCACGUCUAGGACACUGGAGCAGCAUCGUAGGAGGAACAAAACUCGUCGGAACCCUAAUCAGUUGGGUUUUGAUUAAAUGAAAAAAGAAAUAAGAAAUGUAAAAGAUUCUUUUGUUAAAGAAAUAGAGAAAAUAGUAUAUUUCGGCCUGAUUUUGUAAUUUUGAAGGCUCAUUCAUUGUUUACGGUGGUAUGGAGGGGAAAAGAGGGAUUAAGGGCGAUAAGAAAGGUGGAAAAAUCGAGAAAGAGAAGAAAAUCGGGGGGUGGUAAUUUUUGAUUAAUUAUACUUUUUAUAGUUUAAUUCAUUUUUAAUCCUUUACACGUGUGUGUUACACAUAAUUUGUCCAUCUCAACUAUGUCAACGCCACAUAAGCUCUGUUAAUGGUUAGAG